UACGUAGGGUGCAAGCGUUGUCCGGAAUUAUUGGGCGUAAAGAGCUCGUAGGCGGUCCGUCACGUCGGCUGUGAAAACCCGAGGCUCAACCUCGGGCCUGCAGUCGAUACGGGCAAACUAGAGUACUGCAGGGGAGACUGGAAUUCCUGGUGUAGCGGUGAAAUGCGCAGAUAUCAGGAGGAACACCGGUGGCGAAGGCGGGUCUCUGGGCCGUAACUGACGCUGAGGAGCGAAGGCGUGGGGAGCGAACAGG
rnacentral:rRNA from 1 species